UACAGAGGGUGCAAGCGUUGUUCGGAAUUAUUGGGCGUAAAGCGCGUGUAGGCGGCUUUGCAAGUCGGGUGUGAAAGCCCUCGGCUCAACCGAGGAAGUGCGCCCGAAACUGCAGAGCUUGAGUACCGGAGAGGGUGGCGGAAUUCCCCAAGUAGAGGUGAAAUUCGUAGAUAUGGGGAGGAACACCGGUGGCGAAGGCAGGGUCGUCUGGGGCAUUAACUGACGCUGGAGGAGCGAAAGCAUGGGGAGCGAAACAGG
rnacentral:rRNA from 1 species